rnacentral:rRNA from 1 species
GGAUCCAGACUUUGAUUCUGGCUCAGGAUGAACGCUAGCUACAGGCUUAACACAUGCAAGUCGAGGGGCAGCGGGAUUGAAGCUUGCUUCAAUUGCCGGCGACCGGCGCACGGGUGAGUAACGCGUAUCCAACCUUCCGUACACUCAGGGAUAGCCUUUCGAAAGAAAGAUUAAUACCUGAUGGUAUGAUGAGAUUGCAUGAUAGCAUCAUUAAAGAUUUAUCGGUGUACGAUGGGGAUGCGUUCCAUUAGGUAGUAGGCGGGGUAACGGCCCACCUAGCCAACGAUGGAUAGGGGUUCUGAGAGGAAGGUCCCCCACAUUGGAACUGAGACACGGUCCAAACUCCUACGGGAGGCAGCAGUGAGGAAUAUUGGUCAAUGGACGAGAGUCUGAACCAGCCAAGUAGCGUGAAGGAUGAAGGUCCUACGGAUUGUAAACUUCUUUUAUAAGGGAAUAAACCCUCCCACGUGUGGGAGCUUGUAUGUACCUUAUGAAUAAGCAUCGGCUAACUCCGUGCCAGCAGCCGCGGUAAUACGGAGGAUGCGAGCGUUAUCCGGAUUUAUUGGGUUUAAAGGGAGCGCAGACGGGUCGUUAAGUCAGCUGUGAAAGUUUGGGGCUCAACCUUAAAAUUGCAGUUGAUACUGGCGCCCUUGAGUGCGGUUGAGGUGUGCGGAAUUCGUGGUGUAGCGGUGAAAUGCUUAGAUAUCACGAAGAACUCCGAUUGCGAAGGCAGCACACUAAUCCGUAACUGACGUUCAUGCUCGAAAGUGUGGGUAUCAAACAGGAUUAGAUACCCUGGUAGUCCACACGGUAAACGAUGGAUACUCGCUGUUGGCGAUAUACUGUCAGCGGCUUAGCGAAAGCGUUAAGUAUCCCACCUGGGGAGUACGCCGGCAACGGUGCAACUCAAAUGAAUUGACGG